rnacentral:rRNA from 1 species
GACGAACGCCUGCUUCUUUCUUAACACAUUCAAGUCGAACGGAAAGGCCCUGCUUUUGUGGGGUGCUCGAGUGGCGAACGGGUGAGUAACACGUGAGUAACCUGCCCUUGACUUUGGGAUAACUUCAGGAAACUGGGGCUAAUACCGGAUAGGAGCUCCUGCUGCAUGGUGGGGGUUGGAAAGUUUCGGCGGUUGGGGAUGGACUCGCGGCUUAUCAGCUUGUUGGUGGGGUAGUGGCUUACCAAGGCUUUUCCGGGUAUGCGGCCUGAGAGGGUGACCGGCCACAUUGGGACUGCGAUACGGCCCAGACUCCUACGGGAGGCAGCAGUGGGGAAUAUUGCACAAUGGGCGGAAGCCUGAUGCAGCAACGCCGCGUGCGGGAUGAAGGCAUUCGGGUUGUAAACCGCUUUCGCCUGUGACGAAGCGUGAGUGACGGUAAUGGGUAAAGAAGCACAGGCUAAAUACGGG